ACGCUCGACACCUACGGGAAGCAGCAGUGGGGAAUAUUGCACAAUGGGGGAAACCCUGAUGCAGCGACGCCGCGUGGGUGAAGAAGUAUUUCGGUAUGUAAAGCUCUAUCAGCAGGGAAGAAAAUGACGGUACCUGACUAAGAAGCCCCGGCUAACUACGUGCCUGCAGCCGCGGUAAUCUGAGCGGGCUGGCAAGGC
rnacentral:rRNA from 1 species